rnacentral:rRNA from 1 species
CUGGCGGCGUGCUUAACACAUGCAAGUCGAACGAACCUUCGGGUUAGUGGCUGGACGGGUGAGUAACGCGUGGGAAUCUGCCCUCAGGAGGGGGAUAACGGCCGGAAACGGCCGCUAAUACCCCAUAUGCCGAGAGGUGAAAUGAAUUUCGCCUGAGGAUGAGCCCGCGUCUGAUUAGCUAGUUGGUGAGGUAAGAGCUCACCAAGGCAUCGAUCAGUAGCAUGGUCUUGAGAGGAUGAUCAGCCACACUUGGGACUGAGACACGGCCCAGACUCCUACGGGAGGCAGCAGUGGGGAAUUUUCCGCAAUGGGCCGAAAGCCUGACGGAGCAACGCCGCGUGAGGGAUGAAGGCCUCUGGGCUGUAAACCUCUUUUAUCAAGGAAGAAGAUCUGACGGUACUUGAUGAAUAAGCCACGGCUAAUUCCGUGCCAGCAGCCGCGGUAAUACGGGAGGGGGGCACGCGUUUAUCCGGAAUUAUUGGGCCGUAAAGCGUCCGCAGGCGGCCCUACAAGUCUGCUGUUAAAAAGUGGAGCUUAACUCCAUCAUGGCAGUGGAAACUGUUGGGCUCGAGUGUGGUAGGGGCAGAGGGAAUUCCCGGUGUAGCGGCGAAAUGCGUAGAUAUCGGGAAGAACACCAGUGGCGAAGGCGCUCUGCUUGGGCCAUCACUUGACGCUCAUGGACCGAAAGCCAGGGGAGCCGAAAGGGAUUAGAUACCCCUUGUAGUCCUGGCCGUAAACGAUGAACACUUAGGUGUCGGGGGAAUCGACCCCUCCGGUGUCGUAGCCAACGCGUUAAGUGUUCCGCCUGGGGAGUACGCACGCAAGUGUGAAACUCAAAGGAAAUGACGGGGGCCCGCACAAGCGGUGGAGUAUGUGGUUUAAUUCGAUGCAACGCGAAGAACCUUACCAGGAUUUGACAUCCUGCGAAUCUCUUGGAAACUUGAGAGUGCCUUCGGGAACGCAGUGACAGGUGGUGCAUGGCUGUCCGUCAGCUCGUGUCGUGAGAUGUUGGGUUAAGUCCCGCAACGAGCGCAACCCACGUCUUUAGUUGCCAGCAUUUAGUUGGGCACUCUAGAGAGACCGCCGGUGAUAAACCGGAGGAAGGUGUGGAUGACGUCAAGUCAUCAUGCCCCUUACAUUCUGGGCUACACACGGUACUACAAUGCUACGGACAAAGGGCAGCAAGUUCCUGCGAGGACAAGCAAAUCCCAUAAACCGUAGCUCAGUUCAGAUCGUAGGCUGCAACUCGCCUACGUGAAGGAGGAAUCGCUAGUAAUCGCAGGUCAGCAUACUGCGGUGAAUACGUUCCCGGGCCUUGUACACACCGCCCGUCACACCAUGGAAGUUGGCCAUGCCCGAAGCCGUUACUCCAACCCUUGGGAGGAGGACGUCGAAGG